UAGGGAAUCUUCCACAAUGGACGCAAGUCUGAUGGAGCAACGCCGCGUGAGUGAAGAAGGUCUUCGGAUCGUAAAGCUCUGUUGUUGGUGAAGAAGGAUAGAGGCAGUAACUGGUCUUUAUUUGACGGUAAUCAACCAGAAAGUCACGGCUAACUACGUGCCAGCAGCCGCGGUAAUACGUAGGUGGCAAGCGUUGUCCGGAUUUAUUGGGCGUAAAGCGAGCGCAGGCGGAAUGAUAAGUCUGAUGUGAAAGCCCACGGCUCAACCGU
rnacentral:rRNA from 1 species